UGGAACUAUACCCAGGAGGACUACAUGCUACAUAUUUAUUCGGUUUAAUACACGUUUCUGUUCAACACAUCAUCUUAAACUCCUGAGGGACAUGAAUAAACAUAUACAGGAUGUAAUGGUCCAUGGUUUAUUAAAAGUAGGAGACUCCUGGUCUACAUGACGACUUAACUGGAAACCUGAAGGAUCGAGGCAGGUGUCCCCAACUGGGUCAUGGAUCACUUGGUACUAAGCAGCACAGACAGUAUAAAUAUUUUUUAUUGACUUUAGCAGUCCGCAGAGUGUGU